rnacentral:lncRNA from 1 species
GUUAAAGUUAGUAUGAUUGUAUCGAACCCUCUUUGGAAAUUCCUGGCUAUGGGCCUAUUGAGGGGUUUAGAACUGCUAUAGUACUGGCUUUUAUUGUCAAGCAUCAAAUACCCUAAUGUCAAUAAACUCAGUAAGUGUAUAUUGAGAGAGCAGUAGAUGUGGUAUUGGUGCCAAUGAGACAACUUUCCGUCCAAGUCUCAAUGUGUAUACAAAGUUAACCAUUAUAGGUCAAAGUAUGGCCUUCAACACAGAGUCUCACACCAAACAGCAAGCUAGAAAGGACCAAAAAUGACUAGUUUAAAACAUUUCAAAUAAGAAAUGAUUUAACGUGCAUGAAAGUUAUUUAUUCUCUUUUAUAAAGCGAUUCAGUAAAUUUAUAUUUUAAAGAAACUAAAUAAAAAACCAGUUGUUGUCAUCCUAUUAUAUCUGGAAUUGGGCCAGAGUGAACUAGAUAUACUUCAGUCCCCUAAAAAGAAAAAAAACAAACAAAUUGGUAGCACAUUAAUUAUUAUUAUGAAGUUUUGGUGCAUAGCAAUUUCACUAACUGCACUGACGAAAGAACAGGAACAAUAAAUGUUAUAUUUCAAGUGGGCAAGACACAUUUAUAAUUUAAGUACAUUAAAUGCCAACCGAACCCAACUUCCAUCAAUUACUUAAUUUCCGACAGAAAUUUGUUUAUGACAGAAGAGAUCAGGAAGCCAAAAAUAAUCAUCAGACUUAAAAGUGUACCAGUAAGUUAACAAAAGGAAACCAGAUCACCCAUAACAAAAGGGAACCAGAUUACCUAGUGUCAUCUUAAAUUAAACGAAUUAUCUACACACAUGAUAAGCAACGGUUAAAUCAGGG